GUUCUAUCGCAUAGGCAGUUGAGUCCCUGAGUUGCGCUUCAGGUAUAAGUUGUCCACGCUUCACUCUCACGCACUGGGGUGAGAUCUACCAUUUGAUCUUGAAAAUCUCCCUUAAUGUCCAGGGAAGGGAAACCAGCCAGGUUAUGCCUUUAAAGGGCUCGUGCCUUGUCCUUGAAAGAGCUCUUGCCCAGAUGUCAGACACUAGUCGCAACAGUCACAGCCCACCACCUGUCUCCGAGUUCCAAUGCGUCUUGAUCGCC
ensembl:lncRNA